rnacentral:rRNA from 1 species
UGGGGAAUUUUGGACAAUGGGCGAAAGCCUGAUCCAGCAAUGCCGCGUGUGUGAAGAAGGCCUUCGGGUUGUAAAGCACUUUUGUCCGGAAAGAAAUCCUUGGCUCUAAUACAGUCGGGGGAUGACGGUACCGGAAGAAUAAGCACCGGCUAACUACGUGCCAGCAGCCGCGGUAAUACGUAGGGUGCAAGCGUUAAUCGGAAUUACUGGGCGUAAAGCGUGCGCAGGCGGUUUGCUAAGACCGAUGUGAAAUCCCCGGGCUCAACCUGGGAACUGCAUUGGUGACUGGCAGGCUAGAGUAUGGCAGAGGGGGGUAGAAUUCCACGUGUAGCAGUGAAAUGCGUAGAGAUGUGGAGGAAUACCGAUGGCGAAGGCAGCCCCCUGGGCCAAUACUGACGCUCAUGCACGAAAGCGUGGGGGAGCAAAACAGGAUUAGAUACCCCUGGUAGUCCACGCCCUAAACGAUGUCAACUAGUUGUUGGGGAUUCAUUUCCUUAGUAACGUAGCUAACGCGUGAAGUUGACCGCCUGGGGAGUACGGUCGCAAGAUUAAAACUUAAAGGAAUUGACGGGGUCAUAGCUGUUUCCU